AACCUCCGCAAUGUGAGAAAUCGCGACGGGGGGAUCCCAAGUGCCAUUCUUAACGGGAUGGCUUUUCAUUAGUGUAAAGAGCUUUUGGAAUAAGAGCUGGGCAAGACCGGUGCCAGCCGCCGCGGUAACACCGGCAGCUCUAGUGGUAACAAUUUUUAUUGGGCCUAAAGCGUCCGUAGCCGGUUUAAUAAGUCUCUGGUGAAAUCCUGCAGCUUAACUGUGGGAAUUGCUGGAGAUACUAUUAGACUUGAGACCGGGAGAGGUUAGAGGUACUCCCAGGGUAGAGGUGAAAUUCUGUAAUCCUGGGAGGACCGCCUGUUGCGAAGGCGUCUAACUGGAACGGUUCUGACGGUGAGGGACGAAAGUUAGGGGCGCGAACCGGAUUAGAUACCCGGGUAGUCCUAAUGUAACGAUGCGGACUUGGUGUUGGGGUGGCUUUGAGCUGCUUCAGUGCCGAAGGGAAGCUGUUAAGUCCGCCGCCUGGGAAGUACGGUCGCAAGACUGAAACUUAAAGGAAUU
rnacentral:rRNA from 1 species